UACGUAGGGUGCGAGCGUUAAUCGGAAUUACUGGGCGUAAAGCGUGCGCAGGCGGUUCGUUAAGUCAGCUGUGAAAGCCCCGGGCUCAACCUGGGAAUUGCGGUUGAAACUGGCGAACUAGAAUCUGGCAGAGGGGGGUGGAAUUCCCAGUGUAGAGGUGAAAUUCGUAGAUAUUGGGAAGAACACCGGUGGCGAAGGCGGCCAUCUGGACCGCAACUGACGCUGAGGCGCGAAAGCGUGGGGAGCAAACAGG
rnacentral:rRNA from 1 species